rnacentral:misc_RNA from 1 species
UGGCCGCGCAACCUUUUAUCG